CUUCCGUAGGUGUACCUGCGGAAGGAUCAUUA
rnacentral:rRNA from 1 species